rnacentral:rRNA from 1 species
AGAGUUUGAUCAUGGCUCAGGAUGAACGCUAGCGGCAGGCCUAAUACAUGCAAGUCGAGGGGCAGCACAGGUAGCAAUACUGGGUGGCGACCGGCAAACGGGUGCGGAACACGUACGCAACCUUCCUUCAAGCGAGGCAUAGCCCAGAGAAAUUUGGAUUAAUACCUCAUAGGAAUGUGGUCUCGCAUGAGACAGCAUUU